rnacentral:rRNA from 1 species
ACGCUCGACACCUACGGGAGGCUGCAGUGGGGAAUAUUGCACAAUGGGGGAAACCCUGAUGCAGCGACGCCGCGUGGAGGAAGAAGGUCUUCGGAUUGUAAACUCCUGUUGUUGGGGAAAAAGAGGAUGGUACCCAACAAGGAAGUGACGGCUAACUACGUGCAAGCAGCCGCGGUAAUCUGAGCGGGCUGGCAAGGC